rnacentral:ncRNA from 1 species
GAUAGCUGGCUGUCGUUACUGUGAUUGGACACUGACGCACAGUCAAUUAGCCUUGUCCAGACGGUUCUCGGCGCAGGAACCGGGGCGGUCCGAGCCACGAGGGGGGAGGCUCGGACCGCUCGUC